UACGUAGGGGGCAAGCGUUGUCCGGAAUCAUUGGGCGUAAAGAGCGUGUAGGCGGUCCGAUAAGUCGGCUGUGAAAGUCAAGGGCUCAACCCUUGAAUGCCGGCCGAUACUGUCGGGCUAGAGUCCGGAAGAGGCGAGUGGAAUUCCUGGUGUAGCGGUGAAAUGCGCAGAUAUCAGGAGGAACACCGAUGGCGAAGGCAGCUCGCUGGGACGGUACUGACGCUGAGACGCGAAAGCGUGGGGAGCAAACAGG
rnacentral:rRNA from 1 species